CAGCCGCCGCGGUAAUACCAGCCCCGCGAGUGGUCGGGACGGUUAUUGGGCCUAAAGCGCCCGUAGCCGGCCUAGCAAGUCUCCGCAGAAAUCCCCGGGCCCAACCCGGGGGCGUGCGGAGAUACUGCUAGGCUAGGGGGCGGGAGAGGCCGGGGGUACUCCCGGGGUAGGGGCGAAAUCCUAUAAUCCCGGGAGGACCACCAGUGGCGAAGGCGCCCGGCUGGAACGCGCCCGACGGUGAGGGGCGAAAGCCGGGGGAGCGAACCGGAUUAGAUACCCGGGUAGCCCCGGCUGUAAACGAUGCGGGCUAGGUGUCGGACGGGCUUAGAGCCCGUCCGGUGCCGCAGGGAAGCCGUUAAGCCCGCCGCCUGGGGAGUACGGCCGCAAGGCUGAAACUUAAAGGAAUUGGCGGG
rnacentral:rRNA from 1 species